rnacentral:rRNA from 1 species
AUUGAACGCUGGCGGCAGGCCUAACACAUGCAAGUCGAACGGUAACAGGAAGAAGCUUGCUUCUUUGCUGACGAGUGGCGGACGGGUGAGUAAUGUCUGGGAAACUGCCUGAUGGAGGGGGAUAACUACUGGAAACGGUAGCUAAUACCGCAUAACGUCGCAAGACCAAAGAGGGGGACCUUCGGGCCUCUUGCCAUCGGAUGUGCCCAGAUGGGAUUAGCUAGUAGGUGGGGUAACGGCUCACCUAGGCGACGAUCCCUAGCUGGUCUGAGAGGAUGACCAGCCACACUGGAACUGAGACACGGUCCAGGCUCCUACGGGAGGCAGCAGUGGGGAAUAUUGCACAAAGGGCGCAAGCCUGAUGCAGCCAUGCCGCGUGUAUGAAGAAGGCCUUCGGGUUGUAAAGUACUUUCAGCGGGGAGGAAGGGAGUAAAGUUAAUACCUUUGCUCAUUGACGUUACCCGCAGAAGAAGCACCGGCUAACUCCGUG